CAGUCGCCGCGGUAAUACGUAGGGCGCAAGCGUUAUCCGGAAUUAUUGGGCGUAAAGAGCUCGUAGGCGGUUUGUCGCGUCUGCCGUGAAAGUCCGGGGCUCAACCCCGGAUCUGCGGUGGGUACGGGCAGACUAGAGUGAUGUAGGGGAGACUGGAAUUCCUGGUGCAGCGGUGAAAUGCGCAGAUAUCAGGAGGAACACCGAUGGCGAAGGCAGGUCUCUGGACCGACACUGACGCUGAGGCGCGAAAGCGUGGGGAGCAAACAGGAUUAGAUACCCGCGUAGUCCCUGUCUCUUAUAC
rnacentral:rRNA from 1 species